GAUGAACGCUGGCGGCGUGCCUAAUACAUGCAAGUCGAGCGAACGGACGAGAAGCUUGCUUUUCUGAUGUUAGCGGCGGACGGGUGAGUAACACGUGGAUAACCUACCUAUAAGACUGGGAUAACUUCGGGAAACCGGAGCUAAUACCGGAUAAUAUUUUGAACCGCAUGGUUCAAAAGUGAAAGACGGUCUCGCUGUCACUUAUAGAUGGAUCCGCGCUGCAUUAGUUAGUUGGUAAGGUAACGGCUUACCAAGGCAACGAUGCAUAGCCGACCUGAGAGGGUGAUCGGCCACACUGGAACUGAGACACGGUCCAGACUCCUACGGGAGGCAGCAGUAGGGAAUCUUCCGCAAUGGGCGAAAGCCUGACGGAGCAACGCCGCGUGAGUGAUGAAGGUCUUCGGAUCGUAAAACUCUGUUAUUAGGGAAGAACAUAUGUGUAAGUAACUGUGCACAUCUUGACGGUACCUAAUCAGAAAGCCACGGCUAACUACGUG
rnacentral:rRNA from 1 species